rnacentral:rRNA from 1 species
CCUACGGGUGGCAGCAGCUGCGGUAAUACGUAGGGGGCGAGCGUUGUCCGGAAUCACUGGGCGUAAAGGGCGUCUAGGCGGCUUAGUAAGCGGAAUGUGAAAGCCCAGGGCUCAACCCUGGUAUGCCGUUCCGAACUACUAGGCUUGAGUUCGGGAGAGGGCAGUGGAAUUCCCGGUGUAGCGGUGAAAUGUUUAGAUAUCGGGAGGAACACCAGUGGCGAAGGCGGCUGCCUGGACCGAUACUGACGCUGAAGCGCGAAAGCCAGGGGAGCGAACGGGAUUAGAUACCCCAGUAGUC